AGUAACGCUAACAUAACUGGGACUAAGCGCUGCCUUUGCCUCGGUUCGCAGGCAUGAGAACCGAGUUCAAACUCGGCUAUAGUGAGCUGGACUUCCGAGGGAGGGUCGGCAGGGAUCUUUGUCUUAUCAGGGGAGAUCUCUUGCGAAGAGAUGGCGCCUAGUAUGCGGUGUCUUGUGAUGAGAGUUUGUUUGUCACAGGCAUUGCCGGAUGCCGUACCAUUCGGUUCGGGAUGAGUGGCAUAGGUAU
rnacentral:sRNA from 1 species